rnacentral:rRNA from 1 species
GAUUCCCUAGUACUGCGAGUGAAGCGGGAAGAGCUCAAAUUUGAAAUCUGCCAACAGGCCGAGUUGUAAUCUAGAGAAGUGUUUUCGGUUGUUAUCUCGGACAAGUCCCUUGGAACAGGGCGUCAUAGAGGGUGAGAAUCCCGUCCUUGCCGAGCUUCCAAUAACCAUGUGAUACGCUCUCGAAGAGUCGAGUUGUUUGGGAAUGCAGCUCAAAAUGGGUGGUAAAUUCCAUCUAAAGCUAAAUAUUGGUGGGAGACCGAUAGCGAACAAGUACCGUGAGGGAAAGAUGAAAAGCACUUUGGAAAGAGAGUUAAACAGUACGUGAAAUUGUUGAAAGGGAAGCGCUUGAAGUCAGUCGCGUUCUCGGGGACUCAGCCGUCAAGGUGUAUUUCCUCGAAAACGGGCCAACAUCAGUUUCGAGCGUGGGAAAAGGGCUGGAGGAAUGUGGCAACUUCGGUUGUGUUAUAGCCUCCUGUCGUACACCACGCUUGGGACUGAGGACUGCCAUUGUAGGAUGUUGGCGUAAUGGCUUUAAGCGACCCGUCUUGAA